GUGAACGCUGGCGGUCGGCCUCACCCCUGCAGGUCGAACGGCAGCACAGUAAGAGCUUGCUCUUACGGGUGGCGAGUGGCGGACGGGUGAGGAAUACAUCGGAAUCUACUUUUUCGUGGGGGAUAACGUAGGGAAACUUACGCUAAUACCGCAUACGACCUACGGGUGAAAGCAGGGGAUCUUCGGACCUUGCGCGAUUGAAUGAGCCGAUGUCGGAUUAGCUAGUUGGCGGGGUAAAGGCCCACCAAGGCGACGAUCCGUAGCUGGUCUGAGAGGAUGAUCCGCCACACUGGAACUGAGACACGGUCCAGACUCCUACGGGAGGCAGCAGUGGGGAAUAUUGGACAAUGGGCGCAAGCCUGAUCCAGCCAUACCGCGUGGGUGAAGAAGGCCUUCGGGUUGUAAAGCCCUUUUGCUGGGAAAGAAAAGCAGCAGGUUAAUACCCCGCUGUUCUGACGGUACCCAAAGAAUAAGCACCGGCUAACUUCGU
rnacentral:rRNA from 1 species